CCGCGGGAAGUGGGGGUGCUGGGGGUGCUGCAGCACCCCCUAGUGAAGAGAGGGAGAUUUAAAAAAAAAAAUGUAGGCCUAUUAAAAUAUUUUGCACAAUUUAUAAAUUCCUUAUGAAUAUUUUAGAAAAUGAUUUUGACACACGUAGGCUAUUACGUAUAUUUUGGAUUUUAAUUUCAUAUUUUGAGGCCUAAUCAACACCGGUUUGGAAGUUACAUUGUCAACGUCAGGGAGGCAGGUUUGGUCGCCGAGUAAAGAGGUUUCCCGCUCGUUCCAUGCAGAAUACAUCCAUCUUUGGCAGCAGCUGACUAGUAAAUUUACACACCUUUCGCUGAUGCAUACCAACACAGACAUUCUGAACUCCCUGGACAUUCGUCCCCUCGUGAGAGACUUUAUCUCCAAGACGCCAGAGCGCACCUCGACAUUUGGACACCUGUAACCAGGGCACCCCGCCUGCAUGUAGCUCAGGUAAGAGCAUGGUGCUGCUUGUAACAUUUAUUUUUUUGGCAACAAGUGUGGGAUCAGCUUUGACUAGCCAAGCAAUUGUAAGUAGUACACUAUAGUAUUUUUGUAAGGUGGUGGGGAUGGAGAUGGAGAGUAUUUUUUCGUUCGUGUGUUCUUUGCGUAAUGGUUGUGGAGAACUGUUAAAUAACAUUUAAAUAGUCGGAGAUUAUUUCCUUGUGGUUUGUGUAAAAAAGGUUGGAGAUGGAGACAGAAAGCUUUAUACUGUGCGUGUGUUCUUUGCGUAAUGGAUGUGGAGAACUGUUCAAUAAACAAAUUGCUUAAAUAGUCAGAGAUUAUUUCCUUGUGGUCUGACCAAAUCGAUUGCAUUGCUUUAGCGUUAUUGUGAAGUUUGAUUAAUAUUAUAUUUUGUUGUAAUAUUAUUUGUUGUAUCUAAAUAAGUUGCAUGUAUGUAUAGGCUAUCUGAAAUUGUAAUGAAAGUAAUUAUUUCGUUUUCUUUCUAUUAUUAAACUAUUAUUUCUGAUUCUGCUUCUGCUUCAGAUUAAUAGCGCAUUGCGCAUAUCUGAGAACUGAUGUCUGUGUGUUUCAGACUCUGGCUGGCUGUGCACUGAAGUGUAUAUGACAAUAAAGUAGUAAAUCUCAGUGUAUUUAUUUUUAAAAUGUAUUUUAAAUAGGCCUAUAGGCUCAUAGGUUUUUUGUCAAAAA